UACCUACGGGGCGCAACAGUGGGGAAUAUUGCACAAUGGGGGAAACCCUGAUGCAGCGACGCCGCGUGAGUGAAGAAGUAUUUCGGUAUGUAAAGCUCUACCAGCAGGGAAGAAAAAAGACGGUACCUGACUAAGAAGCCCCGGCUAACUACGUGCCAGCAGCCGCGGUAAUACGUAGGGGGCAAGCGUUAUCCGGAUUUACUGGGUGUAAAGGGAGCGUAGACGGUAUGGCAAGUCUGAAGUGAAAGCCCAGGGCUUAACCCUGGGACUGCUUUGGAAACUGUU
rnacentral:rRNA from 1 species